rnacentral:rRNA from 1 species
UUUAAAGAGAGUUUGAUCCUGGCUCAGGACGAACGCUGGCGGCGUGCCUAAUACAUGCAAGUCGAACGAACGG